GUGGUCGGUCGCCAGCAGGAUCAGGCCGACGCGCUUUUCGAUGGCGCGGGCGUCGAACCCGAUCGGCGCCGUCGCCUGUUCGAUCCGGACGGUCAUGCC
rnacentral:tRNA from 1 species